UGCUGGAGGUAUCAGAAGUGCGAAUGCUGACAUAAGUAACGAUAAAGCGGGUGAAAAGCCCGCUCGCCGGAAGACCAAGGGUUCCUGUCCAACGUUAAUCGGGGCAGGGUGAGUCGACCCCUAAGGCGAGGCCGAAAGGCGUAGUCGAUGGGAAACGGGUUAAUAUUCCCGUACUUGGUGUUACUGCGAAGGGGGGACGGAGAAGGCUAUGUUGGCCGGGCGACGGUUGUCCCGGUUUAAGCGUGUAGGUGUGUGUUCCAGGUAAAUCCGGUUCACUUUAACACUGAGGCGUGAUGACGAGGCACUACGGUGCUGAAGCAACAAAUGCCCUGCUUCCAGGAAAAGCCUCUAAGCAUCAGGUAACAUCAAAUCGUACCCCAAACCGACACAGGUGGUCAGGUAGAGAAUACCAAGGCGCUUGAGAGAACUCGGGUGAAGGAACUAGGCAAAAUGGUGCCGUAACUUCGGGAGAAGGCACGCUGACACGUAGGUGAAGUGAUUUACUCAUGGAGCUGAAGUCAGUCGAAGAUACCAGCUGGCUGCAACUGUUUAUUAAAAACACAGCACUGUGCAAACACGAAAGUGGACGUAUACGGUGUGACGCCUGCCCGGUGCCGGAAGGUUAAUUGAUGGGGUCAGCGCAAGCGAAGCUCCUGAUCGAAGCCCCGGUAAACGGCGGCCGUAACUAUAACGGUCCUAAGGUAGCGAAAUUCCUUGUCGGGUAAGUUCCGACCUGCACGAAUGGCGUAAUGAUGGCCAGGCUGUCUCCACCCGAGACUCAGUGAAAUUGAACUCGCUGUGAAGAUGCAGUGUACCCGCGGCAAGACGGAAAGACCCCGUGAACCUUUACUAUAGCUUGACACUGAACAUUGAGCCUUGAUGUGUAGGAUAGGUGGGAGGCUUUGAAGCGUGGACGCCAGUCUGCGUGGAGCCGACCUUGAAAUACCACCCUUUAAUGUUUGAUGUUCUAACGUGGACCCGUUCCGGGUUGCGGACAGUGUCUGGUGGGUAGUUUGACUGGGGCGGUCUCCUCCUAAAGAGUAACGGAGGAGCACGAAGGUUGGCUAAUCCUGGUCGGACAUCAGGAGGUUAGUGCAAUGGCAUAAGCCAGCUUGACUGCGAGCGUGACGGCGCGAGCAGGUGCGAAAGCAGGUCAUAGUGAUCCGGUGGUUCUGAAUGGAAGGGCCAUCGCUCAACGGAUAAAAGGUACUCCGGGGAUAACAGGCUGAUACCGCCCAAGAGUUCAUAUCGACGGCGGUGUUUGGCACCUCGAUGUCGGCUCAUCACAUCCUGGGGCUGAAGUAGGUCCCAAGGGUAUGGCUGUUCGCCAUUUAAAGUGGUACGCGAGCUGGGUUUAGAACGUCGUGAGACAGUUCGGUCCCUAUCUGCCGUGGGCGCUGGAGAACUGAGGGGGGCUGCUCCUAGUACGAGAGGACCGGAGUGGACGCAUCACUGGUGUUCGGGUUGUCAUGCCAAUGGCACUGCCCGGUAGCUAAAUGCGGAAGAGAUAAGUGCUGAAAGCAUCUAAGCACGAAACUUGCCCCGAGAUGAGUUCUCCCUGAGACUUAGAGUCUCCUGAAGGAACGUUGAAGACGACGACGUUGAUAGGCCG
rnacentral:rRNA from 1 species